rnacentral:rRNA from 1 species
CCGGCACGGGUGAGUAACACGUAUCCAACCUGCCGUCUACUCUUGGCCAGCCUUCUGAAAGGAAGAUUAAUCCAGGAUGGCAUCAUGAGUUCACAUGUCCGCAUGAUUAAAGGUAUUUUCCGGUAGACGAUGGGGAUGCGUUCCAUUAGAUAGUAGGCGGGGUAACGGCCUACCUAGUCAACGAUGGAUAGGGGUUCUGAGAGGAAGGUCCCCCACAUUGGAACUGAGACACGGUCCAA